UACGGAGGGUGCAAGCGUUAUCCGGAUUUACUGGGUUUAAAGGGUGUGUAGGCGGAUCUUUAAGUCAGCGGUGAAAUCUCCGGGCUCAACCCGGAAACUGCCAUUGAUACUAUUGGUCUUGAAUAUUGUGGAGGUGGGCGGAACGGGUCAUGUAGCGGUGAAAUGCUUAGAGAUGACCCGGAACACCGAUUGCGAAGGCAGCCCACUACGCAAUGAUUGACGCUGAGGCACGAAAAGCGUGGGGGAUCAAACAGG
rnacentral:rRNA from 1 species